rnacentral:lncRNA from 1 species
AAUUUCAAAUUUCUCCCGCCCAGACGUUAGGGCGAUGUUGUCUUUUGCAUAUUUGACUAUAAUUCUUUAAGUCCCAAACCUUACGUUGGUCGACAAAAUGGCCCGUCGACGAGGCCAACUUCCCCUGUCGGCUUAAUCCUUUGAUUUGUGUUUUUCCUACUCUUUCUUGCUUCCACGUCUCUUCAUCCUUUGAUGGGGUACAACCCC